UUUUUUUUUUUUUUUCCCUCCCCAAACUUUUCCCCCGCGGGGAAAUUUUUUUUUUUUAUAAAAAGGGGAAAAAAAAAAAAAAAAGAAGGAAAGGGGGGAAACCCCCCCCCCAAAAAGGGGGGGGAAAACCCCC
rnacentral:ribozyme from 1 species